CAAAUACUUUGAUAGCAACAUCUGGAUUGGUAUUCAACCAGACAACUAGGUGCCAUAGACUAGCCAAGUUAACACAAUAUGAACAUCACAAGAUGGCUAUGACACAGCUCUUGACAUAGCUCUUGAACUGGCCUUGUCCUAGUCACAGUUUCCUCAGAGUCUUAUCUACUUUGAUCCAUCUAUCUUCCUGACAUCCUAUGACACAUCUAUGCUGACUUUCUGUUUUACAGGGCUCUCUGGCUCUUUAUCCUGAAGUAUUGUUCUACUGUCCUUGGUUUCUCCACUGCACUGGACUGCAUUCUUGGAGACUAACUACAGCUGUGUCCAGGGCCCCUUCCAAGAUGACCCUGUUCUAGGACUUCGGAGAUUCAACAUGAAGGGAAAGAAACUAAUAU
rnacentral:lncRNA from 1 species